rnacentral:tRNA from 1 species
GAUUAAAUGGCUGAAAAAUAGGCAAUAGAUUGUAAAUUUAUUUAUGAAGGUACCCUUCUUUAAUCA